rnacentral:lncRNA from 1 species
AUCAGCAUUAAAACACAGGCCUUCCCCAACUCCAUUACACGCCUUUCAUUGAACAGGCUCCCUCCACAAAAUUAAACUUACCCAAAUUGCAAACUUUCAGGGAAGAAAAUGAACCAUAAUCGAAAUUGAAACCCUAAAUCCCCCAAAUCCAAACCCUGAGCUCGAAAUCAAGGUCCUUCACGCCGUUGCUAAUUACUCAAACAGCCUACGCAAGCAUGAAGAAGCAGCUCCCAUUCCGUUUCUGUAGUUCUCGCAAUGGACGGACAACGUGAAGGUAAAUCUCAAGCUUAUGGGUUUUAAAAAUUUGACACUUAUGGUUUUUAAAAUUUUGGGCUUUUUAGUUGCUAUUCAUCUGACACUUAUGGGUUUUGUAGCUGCUAAUUUGGGUUUUGCAACUGCUAUUCCCGUAUCCGAAGAUUUUGAAGUUGCUAUUCAUAUGACAUUUUGGGUUUUACAAAUCUAAAAAAUAUUUAUUUACAUGGUUUCUUUUUGGAAAUUGUAAUUGUACUCUUCCUCCCAACACUUGGAUUAAUUAACAGAAUCCUGUGUCUCAUUUGAAUGACCUUCGUAACAUGAUUUAAUUUUUCAACAGAUUUAGUUUGAUUCCGCUUGAGUUCUCGACUUGGAUACGAGGUUGAUCGGUUGAGUAGGGUUGAAUCAUUUGAUAGCUAAGUAAUUCCCAACAUCUAUACUAUAGUAGCAAAUAUAUAUAUAUUUUAAAGUUUUGCCACAGUUUGUUGUUCUCCAUUUGACAGUUUGCAUCUACUCUUGUUAAUGUGGGUUAAUUGUAUGACAGAUUGUGAGUAAAUUACUACUACUUUGCACCUUUUACUUUGAUACCAAUGCUCUGGUUAUAGUAAAUUCCAACAAGAUUAGUUUCAAGGAGAACUAAGAAUCAAUUUAAACACAGAGUGACUGACUAGUUAAUGAACAAGUUAGUAAACAUUUAUUACAUUUCGUUUAUAAGAAUGAGAUCAAUUGGAAAUAAAAUCUAAACUGAUUGUUUCAUUCUUCCCUUAGGGGAAAUUUGUUGCAACCACAUGGAAUGGAGCAUCUAUAGGCGAAACCCCUUGUGCAGCUAACAAAAUGUAAACGAAGCCGGACCAAAUGUUGCAGCUCAUGUACCAACUGAGCAAGUCAACUUAAUUGAAAUGGAGGAAGAAUUGGCACACAUAGAUGAGGCGACUUCUUUGAAUGUCAUAUCGGGAAGACCAAGAACAAGAUGAAGUUCGAAGAAGCCAAGAGAAAAAUUCACACGGUGUACACGCAGAAGCACACAUCAGCUUAAUUUGCAUAAUAUGAAGCAAGAUGAAGUUGGAAGAAAUUUUGUUUUUGUUGGAAGUCUGUAGUGUAACAAUCGAUAGAAGUGUUUUAGAAGCCGUUUAAGGCAUGUCUCAGUUGUUAAGGGAUAAUUGCUGUUGAACUUUCCAUAUCUGGAUUUGAUCAACCUUUGAAUGUAUCUGUUGAGCUUGCUGUUAAUAACAAACCUCAUGACAAAGUCAUGCAAUGUUCUUACUUCUCUUACUGCGGCCUUUCUAGUCUGUGACAAAGUCUUCUUUAGUUUUGUAUUGCAGCUAUGCACAAUUCUGUUUUUGGCAGACUUGUGUAAAACAAGAAAAUGGAAUUAUUAGCCCCCCGGGGCACAUCCAAAUUGGCAAAGGAAGGACAGUGCGGAGCUCGCAGCCCCAGCGUGGGGAGUUCGAUUCCUGGUUGGAGCAGCUGAGUGUUGUAAUAAUCAGAGGAAGGGUUGGAACAGCUUGGUGAUGUAAUAACCAUGGAGGAAGCUCCCUUGGGGCCAGGAGUAUAAAGGCUGUUCGAACCCUGGUCAACUUGGGCACAUCCCGCGAUUUACCUCCCUGAGCUGCUGAGGGGCCGGAAGUUUAAGGACGAGAAUAUAGUUUGGCGUAAGUUGGGACACCUCGUUAAAAAAAAAAAAAUAAAAAAAAAUGGAAUCAUUCUCUAGGAUGUUCACAUGCAUUUCGAGAAGUUGACCAAUUCUCUCUUUCUUUCCUUUGUUAGAAUUUAGUACCUAAGACACUCGGACAAAUUUUAGCAAACGAACAAAUGGAUCGCUCGUGAUCUUGAAAGCUAAACCGACAAAAUGGUUUAUCAUCAAUGACAGUUCUUUCAGUUAUCAACUCCGAAUCAUCAGGGUCAGUUCCUUUCACUGAUGGCAAGUCAAUAGGAGAGGGCAAAUAAUCCACCAUUGCAUCGAGCAAUAUGUGUGAUCAAAGUCGGGUUUGGAAAAUUCCCUAAGUACCUGGUGCAGUUUCUAGGUCUGCCUUUGCAGAUCCAUAAUUUCCAUCAGAUAUGCUGUUUCUAGUUUCUUCAAAUUGCUGUUGGUCUUCAGUUUUAGUUUUCAUUUGAUUGCAUCAAGUUCAGCGACUAAAGCUGUAUAUUGAACUCAUUUUGGUAAAUCCAAAUCUAUAAGAUGAGCAACACUAGAUCGUAAUGCUUGUUCUCUCUCCAUCCAUUAAAAAGAAGGUAACAAAAGUUAAAUCCAAAUCUAUAAGAUGAGCAACACUAGAUCGUAAUGCUUGUUCUCUCUCCAUCCAUUAAAAAGAAGGUAACAAAAGUUUGGGACGUAUUUGGACAAAAAGAUAACGAUAACAAUCUAUGCCCCACAUAUUUUCCAGCAACAUUACCGAAAAACAAAAACACCAAACUGAUAUCACAUAAUUUAUCGUGGCUGUGCAUCGUUCUAUUUGGCAGAUUUCUUACAUACGCACACAAAAUCCAACUUCAUUCCAAUUUCAUCAACAAUAGUUGAAUAAUCACUAUGUCCCUUAAAAAAAUCCUCUCUGAUUUUCUUCAUCCCCUCGGAAUCCAAGACCAAAUCUAACAAAGAAACCACCAUUAACCUUGUCCCAGAGUCCCCAGCAGCAACUUUCCACCCGAGACAUCUGGUUUCUUCAACUUUCGAAACCGACAUUCAGCAACACUUACAGGAUUGCGUCCAUUUCCACGACAUCUUCUCAAUAACACGGAGAAAUACGUAAAUUGCCUUGAUUUGGUAUACCGCAUGAGCUACAAGAAUGGAUUUGAGGAACAUGACGACUUCAAGUGAGAGAAUUGAUUUGGGGGAAAUUGAUUUCAGGAGCUUAGGGUUUGGUGAUUCACAGACAAACUCGUGGUAUGUUUUACAUGUCAAAGAUGUGCUCUGAAGACUAAUUUUUGACGUGGCGAUGAUGGGUAAUUGAUUUGGCGAUAAUGGGACUCCACUUACCACAUGGAAUGAGUUAAUUGGACAUGUCAUCAUUCCAUCCCUGACGUCAGCAACAAUUCAAAUGACAUCCAGUCGGGUGAGUGAUGGACAUUAACGGAGUAAAGUUUAGUCGCUAAUGGGACAACUCACAAAGUUCAGUAAGUAAAUCGCGACAUGAUACGAAAUUCAAUGAUCAAUGAAACAUUUAACUCCACAGAA